UGGGGAAUUUUGGACAAUGGGGGCAACCCUGAUCCAGCAAUGCCGCGUGUGUGAAGAAGGCCUUCGGGUUGUAAAGCACUUUUGUCCGGAAAGAAAACGCCGUGGUUAAUACCCGUGGCGGAUGACGGUACCGGAAGAAUAAGCACCGGCUAACUACGUGCCAGCAGCCGCGGUAAUACGUAGGGUGCAAGCGUUAAUCGGAAUUACUGGGCGUAAAGCGUGCGCAGGCGGUCCGCUAAGACAGAUGUGAAAUCCCCGGGCUUAACCUGGGAACUGCAUUUGUGACUGGCGGGCUAGAGUAUGGCAGAGGGGGGUAGAAUUCCACGUGUAGCAGUGAAAUGCGUAGAGAUGUGGAGGAAUACCGAUGGCGAAGGCAGCCCCCUGGGCCAAUACUGACGCUCAUGCACGAAAGCGUGGGGGAGCAAACAGGAUUAGAUACCCUGGUAGUCCACGCCCUAAACGAUGUCAACUAGUUGUCGGGUCUUCAUUGA
rnacentral:rRNA from 1 species